GACGAACGCUGGCGGCGUGCUUAACACAUGCAAGUCGAACGGAAAGGCCCUGCUUUUGUGGGGUGCUCGAGCGGCGAACGGGUGAGUAACACGUGAGUAACCUGCCCUUGACUUUGGGAUAACUUCAGGAAACUGGGGCUAAUACCGGAUAGGAGCUCUGGCUGCAUGGUGGGGGUGGGAAAGUUUCGGCGGUUGGGGAUGGACUCGCGGCUUAUCAGCUUGUUGGUGGGGUAGUGGCUUACCAAGGCUUUGACGGGUAGCCGGCCUGAGAGGGUGACCGGCCACAUUGGGACUGAGAUACGGCCCAGACUCCUACGGGAGGCAGCAGUGGGGAAUAUUGCACAAUGGGCGGAAGCCUGAUGCAGCAACGCCGCGUGCGGGAUGACGGCCUUCGGGUUGUAAACCGCUUUCGCCUGUGACGAAGCGUGAGUGACGGUAAUGGGUAAAGAAGCACCGGCUAACUACGUG
rnacentral:rRNA from 1 species